rfam:Klebsiella sp. RIT-PI-d NODE_7_length_92076_cov_40.4216_ID_13, whole genome shotgun sequence.
CCCCGCAAAUACUGCGGGGCGCCUAUUCCGCUUUUGCACCCAGGGGGGCAUCUCGUG